rnacentral:rRNA from 1 species
GUUCGUGGAGUGAUCUGUCUGCUUAAUUGCGUUUCAGAUAUUGGAGUUAUAUGGGUAGGCUGUUAGUGUCCCCGUAACAAGGGACCUUUCUGGCUGAGCCCGGCUCCUUGAAAGCAACGAACGUGACCGCAGCCCUUUGUUGGGAGUCCACCGCUUCGGCGUUGCUGUUGACUCCCUAACUAAGGGGACCGCCAGGUUUUUUAAAACCGGAGGAAGGUUGCGGCAAUAACAGG